rnacentral:rRNA from 1 species
AAUGAACGCUGGCGGCAUGCCUAACACAUGCAAGUCGAACGAAGGCUUCGUCCUUUUUUUCGCACUUCUUCUUAACGCGUUGUAAUCUGCCCCUUUGUUCGGAAUAACAGUUAGAAAUGUCUGCUAAUACCGGUUGAUUUCGUAAGUCCAAAGAUUUAUCGCCGAGGGAUGAUCCCUCGUAGGAUUAGCUUGUUGGUUUGGUAAGAGCGCACCAAGGCGACGAUCCUUAGCUGGUCUGAGAGGAUGAUCAGCCACACUGGGACUGAGACACGGCCCAGACUGGUACGGGAGGCAGCAGAGGGGAAUAUUGGAAAAGGGGCGAAAGAAUGAUAAAGCAAUGAGGCGUGAGUGAUGAAGGGAUUAGGGUAGUAAAGCUCUUUUACACGGGAAGAUAAUGACAGUAACGGGAGAAUAAGCACCGGCUAACUACGUG